AAGACCAUUUUCUCCGACCGGGUACCCAUUUCUGCUGGAUGAAUAGAAACACUUUGGAACAAACUUGCUUGGCUAAGGUGAGGCCACAUGUAUCACAUGUGCUUCUGUCACACUCAAGGGAUU